AUGCUUCAUGAAGAGCGUGAGCGCCAGCUUGGGCGCCACCGGGUGUCCCUGGACGACGUCGACGCGGUAGCGGCGGAGGAUGGAGGCGGCGGCGAACUUCAUCUGGUAGUAGGCGAAGUCCUUGCCGAGGCAGAGGCGCGGGCCGCCGUUGAAGGCGGUGAACUUGUAGGCGGACUCGCCCAUGAAGCGGCCGUCCUUGAGCCACCGCUCUGGCCUGUACUCCCUGCAGUCCUCCCCCCAGAUGUUCUCCAUCCUCCCCAUGGAGUACAUGGCGUAGAUCACCUUGGUGCCCUUCUUCAGCACCGUGCCGUCGGGGAACACCUCGUCCUCCACAACCUGAUCAUGGAUGGACGGAUCAUGAGAAAAUUAUGCACAGUACAGUUAUCAUGGUGA
rnacentral:rRNA from 1 species